rnacentral:lncRNA from 1 species
UUUAAUUUAAUUUUAUUGAAACUUUAUCUUUUUAGAGCAGUUUUUUAUUCACAGCAAAAUUGAAGGAAAUAUACAGAGCUUUACCCCCUCACCCCACACAGGCAUGGCUUCCCCCAGUAUCAGCAUUCUCCACUGGAGUGGUACAUUUGUCACAGUUGAGGAGUCUACAUUGACAUAUGACAAUCACCCCAAAUCCAUAGUUUAUAUUAGGGUUUAUCUGAUGUUAUACAUCCCAUGGGUUUGCACAAAUAAUAAUGACAUGUAUCUAUCAUUAUGGCAUCAUACAGAAUAUUUUCACUGACCUAAAAAUCCUCUGUGCCUUGCUUGUUUAUACCUCUUCUCCCUCUACCCCCAAUCCUUUUACCGUCCCCAUGGUUUUGCCUUUUCAGAAUUGCAUAUAGUUGGAAUCAUGCAGUAUGCAGCCUUUUUAAAUUGGCCUCUUUCAACUUAGUAAUAUGAAUUUAUCAUUCCUCUAUGUCUUUUCAUGACUUGGUAGUUUCUUUCGUCUUAGCAUGAAUAAUAUUUCAUUGUCUGGAUAUACCACAAUUUAUCCAUCACCUAUUGAAGGACAUCUUGGUUGUUUUCAAGUUUUGGCAAGUGUGACUAAAGCUGCUAUAAACAUUAAGGAGUAGUGCUUUGUGUGAAGAUAAGUUCCUAACUCUUCUGGGUAAAAACCAAGGAACAUGAUGGCUGGGCUUAUGAACUUGUAAGACCUAACUCCAGGUAAAUGUUGUAGGGGCUCCCCUGUAACUGGGUCUCGGUGGAGUUUGUAACUCUCAGACCUGUCUACACUCAGGCCUCCAACAACUCCUCAAUUACAGUUCAGAUUUUCCUACCUUCUUGCUGGUUUCUACUGCACUGGUUUCCAUUUGUGAGUCUCCACUCCAGUAAGAUGCAGCUCCCCGCAUUUGCCUGUUUUUCUCUCUAAUCCUAGAAACAGUAGUUUGCCCUGUGUCCUUCCUUCUCUUCAGGAUGCAAGAAGUUUUCGUCCAUUCAGAUUUUUGCUUGUUGUUAGGAUGGAGUGGCAGCUUCCAAGCUCCUUCCAUGCAGAACCAGAAGACUUCAACUUCAUUUUGAAAUAUUGAAAAGAGAGUUUCAAUUACACAUUUUUUAGGCAAACUCUGUUUGCCUUCAGCAGUGAAGAUGAAAAGUGAUGUUCUAUAAAAAAUGGAAACCUCAUACAAAAUACUGAAUUAUUUGUUAAAUAUAAUCCAUUUUGCAUGAGCACUUGGAAACAUAAAAAUGAAAAAAAAAAAACCCUAAUCUUAAAAAUGUCACUGUAACAUCUGCUUUU